rnacentral:rRNA from 1 species
CGAACCGGGGGAACUGAAACAUCUAAGUACCCCGAGGAAAAGAAAUCAACCGAGAUUCCCCCAGUAGCGGCGAGCGAACGGGGAGCAGCCCAGAGCCUGAAUCAGUAUGUGUGUUAGUGGAAGCGUCUGGAAAGGCGCGCGAUACAGGGUGACAGCCCCGUACACAAAAAUGCACAUGCUGUGAGCUCGAUGAGUAGGGCGGGACACGUGGUAUCCUGUCUGAAUAUGGGGGGACCAUCCUCCAAGGCUAAAUACUCCUGACUGACCGAUAGUGAACCAGUACCGUGAGGGAAAGGCGAAAAGAACCCCGGCGAGGGGAGUGAAAAAGAACCUGAAACCGUGUACGUACAAGCAGUGGGAGCACGCUUAGGCGUGUGACUGCGUACCUUUUGUAUAAUGGGUCAGCGACUUAUAUUCUGUAGCAAGGUUAACCGAAUAGGGGAGCCGAAGGGAAACCGAGUCUUAACUGGGCGUUAAGUUGCAGGGUAUAGACCCGAAACCCGGUGAUCUAGCCAUGGGCAGGUUGAAGGUUGGGUAACACUAACUGGAGGACCGAACCGACUAAUGUUGAAAAAUUAGCGGAUGACUUGUGGCUGGGGGUGAAAGGCCAAUCAAACCGGGAGAUAGCUGGUUCUCCCCGAAAGCUAUUUAGGUAGCGCCUCGUGAAUUCAUCUCCGGGGGUAGAGCACUGUUUCGGCAAGGGGGUCAUCCCGACUUACCAACCCGAUGCAAACUGCGAAUACCGGAGAAUGUUAUCACGGGAGACACACGGCGGGUGCUAACGUCCGUCGUGAAGAGGGAAACAACCCAGACCGCCAGCUAAGGUCCCAAAGUCAUGGUUAAGUGGGAAACGAUGUGGGAAGGCCCAGACAGCCAGGAUGUUGGCUUAGAAGCAGCCAUCAUUUAAAGAAAGCGUAAUAGCUCACUGGUCGAGUCGGCCUGCGCGGAAGAUGUAACGGGGCUAAACCAUGCACCGAAGCUGCGGCAGCGACGCUGAUGCGUUGUUGGGUAGGGGAGCGUUCUGUAAGCCUGCGAAGGUGUGCUGUGAGGCAUGCUGGAGGUAUCAGAAGUGCGAAUGCUGACAUAAGUAACGAUAAAGCGAGUGAAAAGCCCGCUCGCCGGAAGACCAAGGGUUCCUGUCCAACGUUAAUCGGGGCAGGGUGAGUCGACCCCUAAGGCGAGGCCGAAAGGCGUAGUCGAUGGGAAACAGGUUAAUAUUCCUGUACUUGGUGUUACUGCGAAGGGGGGACGGAGAAGGCUAUGUUGGCCGGGCGACGGUUGUCCCGGUUUAAGCGU